rnacentral:rRNA from 1 species
UACGUAGGGUGCAAACGUUAUCCGGAGUUACUGGGCGUAAAGGGCGUGUAGGUGGUUUAGUAAGUCUGGCGUGAAAUUUUUCGGCUUAACCGGGAAAGGUCGUCGGAUACUGCAAGACUAGAGGACGGUAGAGGCGUGUGGAAUUCCGGGUGUAGUGGUGAAAUGCGUAGAGAUCCGGAGGAACACCAGUGGCGAAGGCGACACGCUGGGCCGUACCUGACACUGAUGCGCGACAGCAUGGGGAGCAAACAGG